GAUGAACGCUGGCGGCGUGCCUAAUACAUGCAAGUCGAGCGAACGGACGAGAAGCUUUCUUUGCUGAUGUUAGCGGCGGACGGGUGAGUAACACGUGGAUAACCUACCUAUAAGACUGGGAUAACUUCAGGAAACCGGAGCUAAUACCGGAGAAUAUUUUGAACCGCAUGGUUCAAAAGUGAAAGACGGUCUUGCUGUCGCUUAUAGAUGGAUCCGCGCUGCAUUAGCUAGUUGGUAAGGUAACGGCUUACCAAGGCAACGAUGCAUAGCCGACCUGAGAGGGUGAGCGGCCACACUGGCACUGAGACACGGUCGAGACUCCUACGGGAGGAAGCAGUAGGGAAUCUUCCGCAAUGGGCGAAAGCCUAACGGAGCAACGCCGCGUGAGUGCUGAAGGUCUUCGGCUCGUAAAACUCUGUUAUUAGGGAAGACCAUAUGUGUAAGUAACUGUGAACAUCUUGACGGUACCUAAUCAGAAAGCAACGGCUAACUACGUG
rnacentral:rRNA from 1 species